GCCUCCAUGGCGCAAUUGGCUAGCGCGUCUGACUGUUAAUCAGGAGGUUGGUGGUUCAAGCCCACCUGGGGGCG
rnacentral:tRNA from 1 species